GGUUAAGUCUGCCCAGUGAUUAUUUUUUUAACGGCCGCAGUACUUUGACUGUGCUAAGGUAGCAAAAUAAAUAGGCUUUUAAUUGGGGUCGAGUAUGAAUGGCCAAAUGGGUGAUAACUGUCUCAUGUAUAACUUAAACUAACUUACUUAUUAGGUGAAAAUUCCUAUAAUUUUAAUAUUAGACGAGAAGACCCUUAGAGUUUUGAGGAAUUAAUCUUUUAAAAUUAUUUCUUUUUGUUGGGGCGACAGAUUAUCAAUUUAACAUAAUUAGGUAGUUAACUAAACAAGACUAAUUUUAUAAAUGAAUAUAACUACCUAAGGGAUAACAGCAUAAUUUUUUCUUAAGAUUGUGACCUCGUUGUUGGACUAGGGACUAAGCAUAUAAGUCAUAUG
rnacentral:rRNA from 1 species